AACGUAGGUACCGAGCGUUAUCCGGAUUUACUGGGCGUAAAGCGUGUUCAGGCGGCCUGGCAAGUCGGGCAUGAAAUCUCUCGGCUCAACCGAGAGAGGCUGUCCGAUACUGCUGGGCUUGAGGACGGUAGGAGGGUGGUGGAAUUCCGCGUGUAGUGGUGAAAUGCGUAGAUAUGCGGAGGAACACCAGUGGCGAAGGCGGCCACCUGGACCGGCAUUGACGCUGAGGCGCGAAAGCCAGGGGAGCAAACGGG
rnacentral:rRNA from 1 species